UUCAGGAAAGAAACAAUUUGUGCUGCUGAAGAUAAUAAAAGGAGACUAAAGUCCUAACUCUAAAGAAAGGGAAUAUCCAGUUUAGAGGAUUACAGGAGAAGGAAAUCGGUGCUGGAACAAAGUCCUCAGUCAUGGAGUUACAUCAGUUUUGAGGUGUUCAAAACAAGGCUAAUACAAAAGCAAAUGGAAAAUAGAAAGAAUGUGGUUAUGAAAUACAGGAACAAAGAGGACUUAACACAAACACAGAAAUACUCAGUACUUCUACAUAUGUACUCUGUACUUAAAAGAAGCAAUACCUACAGUUCCUCCUUAUACAUUCCACAUACAUGAAAUCCGUCCUUUCUUAAUCUGAACCCAGAUGCCUUUGAGGUAGGUAUAUAUAUGGUGGGUUGACCGUGGCUGGACACCAGGUGCCCAACAAAACCUCUCUAUCACUCCCCUCCUCAGCUGGUCAUGGGAGAGAAAAUACAAUGAAAGGCUGAUGGGUUGAGAUAAGGACAGGGAGAGAUCACUCACCAGUUACCAUUAGGGGCAAAACAGACUCAACUUGGGG